UUGAAAGGGAAACGAUUGAAGUCAGUCGUACCAGCGGGAAAUCAACCUUUCGGGUGGGAUUUUGGAGUUUUGAAGAGUGUUAAAACCUUUGAGAUUUCAAAAUGUUCGCUCUUUUGGUGUACUUUCUCGUAGGUAGGUUAACAUCGAUUUUGAUCAUCAUAAAAGGAUUGGAGGAAUGUAGCUUCGAUCUCGUAUUGAAGUGUUAUAGCCUUUGGUAAAUGUGAUGAUUAGGAUCGAGGAUUGCAACGAAUACCCUUUUGGGCUAUCCGCCUGAUCUCUGAUACGUGGCCUUGGUAUUGAAAGCGUGCUUAUGAUAUUAAGGUAUUACGGUCAAAAGGUUAGAACGGAUUACAUUCGUUAAGGAUGUUGACGUA
rnacentral:rRNA from 1 species